UACGAAGGGGGGCUAGCGUUGCUCGGAAUCACUGGGCGUAAAGGGUGCGUAGGUGGCAGGGUAAGUCGGAUGUGAAAGCUCGGAGCUCAACUCCGAAAUGGCAUUGGAAACUACCCAGCUCGAGGGUUGGAGGGGGGGACUGGAAUGCUUGGUGUAGCAGUGAAAUGCGUAGAUAUCAAGCGGAACACCAGUGGCGAAGGCGAGUCCCUGGACAACUCCUGACACUGAGGCACGAAAGCUAGGGGAGCAAACAGG
rnacentral:rRNA from 1 species